CGGGGUGCACCAGGCGCGAAAACUUUACAAUGCUGGCAACAGCGAUAAGGGGACCUCGAGUGCCAGGAUACAAUCUUGGCUGUCGUAAUGCCUAAAAAGCAUUGCAUAGCAAGGGCCGGGCAAGACCGGUGCCAGCCGCCGCGGUAACACCGGCGGCUCGAGUGGUAACCGCUAUUAUUGGGUCUAAAGGGUCUGUAGCCGGCCGGAUAAGUCUUUUGGGAAAUCCAGCUGCUUAACAGUUGGGCUUUCAGAAGAUACUGUUCGGCUCGAGACCGGGAGAGGUGAGAGGUACUUCAGGGGUAGGGGUGAAAUCUUGUAAUCCUUGAAGGACCACCAGUGGCGAAGGCGUCUCACCAGAACGGAUCUGACGGCAAGGGACGAAAGCUAGGGGCACGAACCGGAUUAGAUACCCGGGUAGUCCUAGCCGUAAACGAUACUCGCUAGGUGUCAGCCACGGUGCGACCGUGGUUGGUGCCGUAGGGAAGCCGUGAAGCGAGCCACCUGGGAAGUACGGCCGCAAGGCUGAAACUUAAAGGAAUUGGCGGGGGAGCAC
rnacentral:rRNA from 1 species